UGAGGUGACAUAUUGCAGACAGAUGCAUAGU
rnacentral:piRNA from 1 species